rnacentral:rRNA from 1 species
GAUGAACGCUGGCGGCGUGCCUAAUACAUGCAAGUCGAGCGAACGGACGAGAAGCUUGCUUUUCUGAUGUUAGCGGCGGACGGGAGCGUAACAUGUGGAUAACCUACCUAUAAGACUGGGAUAACUUCGGGAAACCGGAGCUAAUACCGGAUAAUAUUUUGAACCGCAUGGUUCAAACGUGAAAGACGGUCUUGCUGUCACUUAUAGAUGGAUCCGCGCUGCAUCCGCUAGUUGGUAAGGUAACGGCUUGCCAAGGCAACGAUGCAUAGCCGACCUGAAAGCGUGGUCGGCCACACUGGAACUGAGACACGGUCCAGACUCCUGCGGGAGGCAGCAGUAGAGAAUCUUCCGGGAUGGGCGAGAGCCGGACGGAGCAACGCCGCGUGAGUGAUGAAGCUCCUCGGAUCGUAAAGCUCUGUUAUUAGGGAAGAAGAAAUGUGUAUGUAACUGUGCACAUCUUGACGGUACCUAGUCAGAAAGCCACGGCUAACUACGUG